GACGAACGCUGGCGGCGUGCUUAACACAUGCAAGUCGAACGGAAAGGCCCUGCGUUUGUGGGGUGCUCGAGUGGCGAACGGGUGAGUAACACGUGAGUAACCUGCCCUUGACUGUGGGAUAACUUCAGGAAACUGGGGCUAAUACCGGAUAGGAGCUCCUGCUGCAUGGUGGGGGUUGGAAAGUUUCGGCGGUUGGGGAUGGACUCGCGGCUUAUCAGCUUGUUGGUGGGGUAGUGGCUUACCAAGGCUUUGACGGGUAGCCGGCCUGAGAGGGUGACCGGCCACAUUGGGACUGAGAUACGGCCCAGACUCCUACGGGAGGCAGCAGUGGGGAAUAUUGCACAAUGGGCGGAAGCGUGAUGCAGCAACGCCGCGUGCGGGAUGACGGCCUUCGGGUUGUAAACCGCUUUCGCCUGUGACGAAGCGUGAGUGACGGUAAUGGGUAAAGAAGCACCGGCUAACUACGUG
rnacentral:rRNA from 1 species